rnacentral:rRNA from 1 species
GAUGAACGCUGGCGGCGUGCCUAAUACAUGCAAGUCGAGCGAACAGAUAAGGAGCUUGCUCCUUUGACGUUAGCGGCGGACGGGUGAGUAACACGUGGAUAACCUACCUAUAAGACUGGGAUAACUUCGGGAAACCGGAGCUAAUACCGGAUAACAUAUUGAACCGCAUGGUUCAAUAGUGAAAGGCGGCUUUGCUGUCACUUAUAGAUGGAUCCGCGCCGUAUUAGCUAGUUGGUAAGGUAACGGCUUACCAAGGCAACGAUACGUAGCCGACCUGAGAGGGUGAUCGGCCACACUGGAACUGAGACACGGUCCAGACUCCUACGGGAGGCAGCAGUAGGGAAUCUUCCGCAAUGGGCGAAAGCCUGACGGAGCAACGCCGCGUGAGUGAUGAAGGUCUUCGGAUCGUAAAACUCUGUUAUCAGGGAAGAACAAAUGUGUAAGUAACUGUGCACAUCUUGUCGGUACCUGAUCAGAAAGCCACGGCUAACUACGUG